AGACAACAGGGAUUGCCCUAGUAACGGCGAGUGAAGCGGCAACAGCUCAAAUUUGAAAUCUGGCCCUAGUGGUCCGAAUUGUAAUUUGUAGAGGAUGCUUUUGGUGCGGUGCCUUCCGAGUUCCCUGGAACGGGACGCCGGAGAGGGUGAGAGCCCCGUACGGUUGGACACCUAGCCUCUGUAUAGCUCCUUCAACGAGUCGAGUAGUUUGGGAAUGCUGCUCUAAAUGGGAGGUAAAUUUCUUCUAAAGCUAAAUACCGGCCAGAGACCGAUAGCGCACAAGUAGAGUGAUCGAAAGAUGAAAAGCACUUUGAAAAGAGGGUUAAAUAGCACGUGAAAUUGUUGAAAGGGAAGCGUUUGCGACCAGACCUUUUCCGGGCGGAUCAUCCGGCGUUCUCGCCGGUGCACUUCGUCCGGUCUAGGCCAGCAUCGGUUUCCUUAGGGGGAUAAAGGCUUGGGGAACGUAGCUCUUUAGGGAGUGUUAUAGCCCCUUGCGUAAUACCCUUCGGGGGACCGAGGACCGCGCUCUGCAAGGAUGCUGGCGUAAUGGUCGUCAACGACCCGUCUUGAAACACGGACCAAGGAGUCGAACAUUUGUGCGAGUGUUUGGGUGUUAAACCCUCACGCGUAAUGAAAGUGAACGGAGGUGAGAGCCCUUACGGGUGCAUCAUCGACCGAUCCUGAUGUCUUCGGAUGGAUUUGAGUAAGAGCAUAACUGUUCGGACCCGAAAGAUGGUGAACUAUGCGUGGAUAGGGUGAAGCCAGAGGAAACUCUGGUGGAGGCUCGCAGCGGUUCUGACGUGCAAAUCGAUCGUCAAAUCUGCGCAUGGGGGCGAAAGACUUAUCGAACCAUCUAGUAGCUGGUUACCGCCGAAGUUUCCCUCAGAUAGCAGUGUUGUCUUCAGUUUUAUGAGUAAAGCGAAUGAUUAGGGACUCGGGGGCGCUAUAUUGCCUUCAUCCAUUCUCAACUUUAAAUAUGUAAGAAGCCCUUGUUACUUAAGUGAACGUGGGCAUUCGAUGUACCAACACUAGUGGCCAUUUUUGUAGCAGACUGGCGAUGCGG
rnacentral:rRNA from 1 species